GAUUAAGGAGAAGCUGGGACUGGAUUUCCCAAAUCUGCCCUACCUCAUCGAUGGCAAGAACAAGCUCACGCAGAGCAAUGCCAUCCUCUGGUACAUCGUGCGCAAGCACAAGUUGUGUGGCGAGACGGAGGAGGAGAUGCUGCGAGUGGACAUGCUGGAGAACCAGGCCAUGGAUUUCCGUAUGAGCCUUGUAAUGAUCUGCUACAG